rnacentral:rRNA from 1 species
GAUGAACGCUGGCGGCGUGCCUAAUACAUGCAAGUCGAGCGAACAGACGAGGAGCUUGCUCCUCUGACGUUAGCGGCGGACGGGUGAGUAACACGUGGAUAACCUACCUAUAAGACUGGGAUAACUUCGGGAAACCGGAGCUAAUACCGGAUAAUAUAUUGAACCGCAUGGUUCAAUAGUGAAAGACGGUUUUGCUGUCACUUAUCGAUGGAUCCGCGCCGCAUUAGCAAGUUGGUAAGGUAACGGCUUACCAAGGCAACGAUGCGUAGCCGACCUGAGAGGGUGGUCGGCUACACGGGAACUGAGACUCGGCCCAGACUCCGACGGGAGGCAGCAGUAGGGAAUCUUCCGCGAUGGGGGAAAGCCUGACGGAGCAACGCCGCGGGAAUGAUGAAGGUCUUCGGAUCGUAAAGCUCUGUUAUUAGGGAAGAACAAAUGUGUAAGUAACUAUGCACGUCUUGACGGUACCUAAUCAAAAAGCCACGGCUAACUACGUG